GUUACAUUUUGGGCCUCAGAUUUCAGGUAGGAGGGCCCCUUAGCAGGAUUUUGCUUAGGGCCCCAUGGAGGUCUGAACCGGCACUGGUCUCAUUUGGUAAACCAUGGUUCCGGGAGUAUGAAUGUCAUCUAUGUCAUCUUUGCAGCCUCACCAUGUCCCAGAUUCCUUGAGCUCCUUCAGGGAACCGAGUAUGGAAAUGAGAGGAGGCAUCGCUGCAUGGUGUGGGAGCUGCACAGCUAACGAGUGCAAAACGCUGCAGAAGCAUCUGUGGAUGCGAACUCCCCUCCAUCCUGAUCAGAUGAUGGAGAAGUAAAUCCUGGACAUUUAUUUUAAAAAUCCAACCAUCCCAGCACACUCUAUUCAACU